rnacentral:rRNA from 1 species
GUCCACGCCGUAAACGUUGGGCGCUAGGUGUGGGGCUCUUUCCACGAGUUCCGUGCCGCAGCAAACGCAUUAAGCGCCCCGCCUGGGGAGUACGGCCGCAAGGCUAAAACUCAAAGGAAUUGACGGGGGCCCGCACAAGCGGCGGAGCAUGCUGAUUAAUUCGAUGCAACGCGAAGAACCUUACCAAGGCUUGACAUGGGCAGUAAUCCGGCAGAGAUGUCGGGUCCGUAAGGGCUGUUCACAGGUGGUGCAUGGUUGUCGU